rnacentral:rRNA from 1 species
CCGGGGUUUCUUUACCAGGUACCGUCAUUAUCUUCCCUGGCGAAAGAGCUUUACGACCCUAGGGCCUUCGUCACUCACGCGGCAUGGCUAGAUCAGGGUUUCCCCCAUUGUCUAAGAUUCCCCA